CCAAUUGCCUGAGCUCUGCUCUGGGGACCACUUCCCUCUGGCCACCAGGGCCCCCACUUCCUUUCCUCAUGAGCGCCAGCGUGGGGCUGUUUCCCCUUUGUGCUGCAAAAACCCCCGAGGAGGCACCGUGGGACCAGCCCCCUGGCUCUGGGAGUCUGGCUGGGAGCCUCUUCCUUCCCCUGCCGGCCUCACAGCCCCAAGGCCCUCUGCAGGACAGAAUCCAGAUGAAGAUGAGCCAGCAGGCCCUUCUCCACGCUCUCCCCAGGCCCACCUCUCCCCUGUAAGCAUCCACGUUGAUGUGCUCCUCUGAAGGGUCCAGACACUGGAGGGAGAGGCGGGUCCUCGGGGGGACGGACCUCAACCUUUGCUGCGAUGCAUGCUGAGCGCGUCAGAGAAGGUGUGCCCUCCAGUAUGCUGAUCCAUCAAAAUGAGCGGACAGAGGGGUCAGGGCCAUUCACAGAACGCCACCAAAGAGGGACCGGGACCAAGGCGGGUCUGCCUCUGCACGGUCUGGAGUGUGUAAACCACGUGGUCCUAGGUGCCCUUGGUUAGGGAACCGAAGACGUUGUGUUUUAUUAUCAGACUGUAAAUUGCUGGACCCGUUUGUUCGGCUGUCUCAGUUUCCCCAUUCCACUUGCCAUGGAAUUCUCCUAGCUUCUUACUGUUCUGCUUCAUGUCCACUGUUCCUGUGCAUCUAGGUUAAUGCACCUUCUAAAUACCAGAAGUAGCCAGCCCUCAAGAGAGUGCAUAAUCUUAUGAACUAUCCAACCCCCGCCUUGCUUUCUCCCAUCUUGAGGUACGUUCCCUCCUUAAUGUCAAAGGCAGAAAAGAAGCUGCAAACGGUUACUCUCCAGAGCAUCUGAGGCAUUGCUCCCUGGCACAUGAGUCAGUUUGGCUCAGGUAAAUGCCUAUAGACAUUCUCUCCGGGUUGGGACACUCCUUACACCGACAGCAGCAUCCGAGAGGCUGAGGACCCUGUGCUCCCACUGCCUUUGCCCUGUGCUGUGAUUCUCCACGGCCGUGCUGGCCACACGGCUCAGACCUGCGAAGUGCACAAGGUACUUAAUGCCCUUGGCAUUGAGAGGUCAUGUCUGACAUUCUUUUUUAAUGGUAGAUUACCUUUUUUUUAACCCAAAGUAUAAAGACAGAAUCAUAUUUCAGAAGUCUCACUGCUGUGUGAGCUGGCAAGGACAUGGCUUGAAGCCUCUAAAGGUGGUGGCAGCAGAGAACAGCAGUGGUGGUGGGGGAGCAACAGGCGCAAGGGAGAAGGCGGCGGAGAAGCGAAUAAGGACCGUGCAGUGGCACUGAUGGGGCAACUACUGGGCGCUCAGCAGAGGGAAGUCCAAUGGGGGCCACAGGGACAAGCUGAGGUUAAAGGGAGGCAAGGAAGAGCUGGGACAGAGCGAAUGAUCCUGGGGAGGAAGAGACAGGGGUCUGUGCUGGCUAGUUCCCAGCCCCCGGGAGCUGGCUGGGCUGCAAGCUGGAGGACUGGGAUAUAAUCUGACCAGAUACGCCCCCACGGACAACCCAAGCAGGGCGGAUGUGGGUGAGCUCAGGGCGCUGUCACCACCUCCUUGCUCCAACAGACUCGCCCUGUCGGGCCAGUUCGGAAGCACCUGGCAGUUUCUCCGAGUUCCCAGCAGGAUGGGGCCCCAGAGGCCCACUCCCUCGGGAGCAGGCCAUUUGCUGGCAUUUUCUCCCUCCCCUGUCCCAACGUGUGUCCUAGACCACCUCUCAGAUCAAUGCCCUGUCCCCAAGUCCUUGCCUCACUCCUGAGUAGGGGAUGCAAAACCUUACCACCUCAGGGGUCACACUGGGGCUCUUUAGCAACAGGUUAACUAGACAGGAACGCAGGUUGUUAACUCAUGCAGUGCAUGGCAUGGGGGAGCAGCCUCAGCGACAGGGGACGUGCAGCUGGUGGCUUAGAAUCCUGGCUUCUCAGCACCUUCAACAAAGAACAAAAUUCUGCAGAGAAUAGACAGGCCCAAGGAGAGCAGUUUCCAGCUCCUGAAGGGGGCGUACCUUCUGAGGGAAGGUAAAUAGAAGGCGGCUGGAGACCGACGGAAGGAGGUUUGUUUGCAGAUUCCUCCGGUGCAGUUACGAGCCUGGGCUGAUAUGAGUCUGUCUCCAGUACAAGAAGAAUUUAUGUCCUGUCUUUAGGCAGACAAGGGGAGGGCAGACAGAACUUCUCCCGUGUCUGCUGCCGCUUAAUGACCUUCGCUCAGAAUCGUUGUUGUGCCGAAGAGGUGUAGGCGUUCAGGAUGAGUCACCUAAAUUAUGCCUCCGUGACAUGUGGGUAAUUCUGAGUUCAAGACGACGGAGACCCUGUGGGCUCAAGACCCUCCUCCCUCCAAUCCCCUUAACUACCGAGAAGAAUUUAAAU